UACGGAGGGUGCAAGCAUUAAUCGGAUUUAUUGGGCGUAAAGGGCGCGUAGGCGGAUGGGUAAGUCAGAUGUGAAAGCCCGGGGCUCAACCCCGGAAUGGCAUUUGAAACUGCCCGUCUCGAGGAUGGACGGCGAAAUCGGAAUUCCACGUGUAGCGGUGAAAUGCGUAGAUAUGUGGAAGAACACCUGUGGCGAAAGCGGAUUUCGAGUUUAUACCUGACGCUGAGGCGCGAAAGCAAGGGGAGCAAACAGG
rnacentral:rRNA from 1 species